UGUGGGAGCGGGCUUGCUCGCGAUUGAAUCGACGCGGUGAUCCAGACCAACCGUGUCGUCUGCAUCGCGAGCAAGCCCGCUCCCACA
rnacentral:ncRNA from 2 species